GACGAACGCUGGCGGCGUGCUUAACACAUGCAAGUCGAACGGUAAGGCCCUUCGGGGUACACGAGUAGCGAACGGGUGAGUAACACGUGGGUGAUCUGCCCUGCACUUCGGGAUAAGCCUGGGAAACUGGGUCUAAUACCGGAUAGGACCCUGGGAUGCAUGUCCUGGGGUGGAAAGCUUUUGUGGUGUGGGAUGGGCCCGCGGCCUAUCAGCUUGUGGGUGGGGUGAUGGCCUACCAAGGCGACGACGGGUAGCCGGCCUGAGAGGGUGACCGGCCACACUGGGACUGGGAUACGGCCCAGACUCCUACGGGAGGCAGCAGUGGGGAAUAUUGCACAAUGGGCGCAAGCCUGAUGCAGCGACGCCGCGUGAGGGAGAACGGCCUUCGGGUUGUAAACCUCUUUCAGCACCGACGAAGCGCAGGUGACGGUGGGUGCAGAAGAAGGACCGGCCAACUACGUGCCAGCCGCCGCCGUAA
rnacentral:rRNA from 1 species